GACGAACGCUGGCGGCGUGCCUAAUACAUGCAAGUUGAGCGCUGAAGGUUGGUACUUGUACCAACUGGAUGAGCAGCGAACGGGUGAGUAACGCGUGGGGAAUCUGCCUUUGAGCGGGGGACAACAUUUGGAAACGAAUGCUAAUACCGCAUAAAAACUUUAAACACAAGUUUUAAGUUUGAAAGAUGCAAUUGCAUCACUCAAAGAUGAUCCCGCGUUGUAUUAGCUAGUUGGUGAGGUAAAGGCCCACCAAGGCGAUGAUACAUAGCCGACCUGAGAGGGUGGUCGGCCACAUUGGGACUGGGACACGGCCCAAACUCCUACGGGAGGCAGCAGUAGGGAAUCUUCGGCAAUGGACGAAAGUCUGACCGAGCAACGCCGCGUGAGUGAAGAAGGUUUUCGGAUCGUAAAACUCUGUUGGUAGAGAAGAACGUUGGUGAGAGUGGAAAGCUCAUCAAGUGACGGUAACUACCCAGAAAGGGACGGCUAACUACGUG
rnacentral:rRNA from 1 species